UGGAUCCAGACUUUGAUCCUGGCUCAGGAUGAACGCUGGCGGCGUGCCUAACACAUGCAAGUCGAACGAAGCUUGACGGAUGAUUUCUUCGGAAUGAAACCUGAUAUGACUUAGUGGCGGACGGGUGAGUAACACGUGAGCAACCUGCCUUUCAGAGGGGGAUAACGGCUGGAAACGGUCGCUAAUACCGCAUGACGUGUUCGGAUGGCAUCAUCUGAACAUCAAAGAUUUAUCGCUGAAAGAUGGGCUCGCGUCUGAUUAGAUAGUUGGUGGGGUAACGGCCUACCAAGUCUACGAUCAGUAGCCGGACUGAGAGGUUGAACGGCCACAUUGGGACUGAGAUACGGCCCAGACUCCUACGGGAGGCAGCAGUGGGGAAUAUUGCACAAUGGGGGAAACCCUGAUGCAGCAACGCCGCGUGAAGGAUGACGGUUUUCGGAUUGUAAACUUCUUUUCUUAGUGACGAAGACAGUGACGGUAGCUAAGGAAUAAGCAUCGGCUAACUACGUGCCAGCAGCCGCGGUAAUACGUAGGAUGCAAGCGUUAUCCGGAUUUACUGGGUGUAAAGGGAGCGCAGGCGGGACUGCAAGUUGGAUGUGAAAUACCGUGGCUUAACCACGGAACUGCAUCCAAAACUGUAGUUCUUGAGUGAAGUAGAGGCAAGCGGAAUUCCGAGUGUAGCGGUGAAAUGCGUAGAUAUUCGGAGGAACACCAGUGGCGAAGGCGGCUUGCUGGGCUUUAACUGACGCUGAGGCUCGAAAGUGUGGGGAGCAAACAGGAUUAGAUACCCUGGUAGUCCACACUGUAAACGAUGAUAGCUAGGUGUGGGGGGUCUGACCCCUUCCGUGCCGGAGUUAACGCAAUAAGCUAUCCACCUGGGGAGUACGACCGCAAGGUUGCAACUCAAAUGAAUUGACGGA
rnacentral:rRNA from 1 species